AGUGGGUACUGCAUAGUAAAUCUGUAUCAAGUAGAGUGACCAUGCUUGAAGCAGACUAGUGUGGGAAGUCACAAAGACACCCAUGACAGCUCUGACAGAAUUAUAAGCUUCUGUGGAUGUAAGUGCAGAAACUCGGAAUGGUGCAACAUGUUCCUGCUGUAUUCACAGCUUCACGGUGGAGUGGAAUAGAAAAGGAU